rnacentral:piRNA from 1 species
GCAUGUAUGUGUGCUGACUGUCUC